CAGUCGCCACGGUAAUACGAAGGGUGCAAGCGUUACUCGGAAUUACUGGGCGUAAAGCGUGCGUAGGUGGUGGUUUAAGUCCGUUGUGAAAGCCCUGGGCUCAACCUGGGAAUUGCAGUGGAUACUGGGUCACUAGAGUGUGGUAGAGGAUAGUGGAAUUUCCGGUGUAGCAGUGAAAUGCGUGGAGAUCGGAAGGAACAUCUGUGGCGAAGGCGACUAUCUGGGCCAACACUGACACUGAGGCACGAAAGCGUGGGGAGCAAACAGGAUUAGAUACCCGCGUAGUCCCUGUCUCUUAUAC
rnacentral:rRNA from 1 species